GCUUUCGUAGAUCAAUGCCAGAUCACCUCCUUCUGAUACAAGGGCCUGCUAGUAUUCCGGAGGAGAUGCGGGUUCAACUCCCGCCGAAGGCA